rnacentral:ncRNA from 1 species
GAAUAAUAAAGCACGAUUCGUAUAUUUUUGAGGAUUGGCUCAAACGUUUCUACCUCCCUGCCGGAACGGGGAGACUACGAGGAAGUGAUUU